UACGGGGGGGGCAAGCGUUGUUCGGAAUUACUGGGCGUAAAGGGCUCGUAGGCGGCCAACUAAGUCGGAUGUGAAAUCCCCAGGCUUAACCUGGGAACUGCAUCCGAUACUGGAUGGCUUGAAUUCGGGAGAGGGAUGCAGAAUUCCAGGUGUAGCGGUGAAAUGCGUAGAUAUCUGGAGGAAUACCGGUGGCGAAGGCGGCAUCCUGGACCGACAUUGACGCUGAGGAGCGAAAGCUAGGGGAGCGAACGGG
rnacentral:rRNA from 1 species